rnacentral:rRNA from 1 species
AAUAUUGGACAAUGUGUGAAAGGCUGAUCUAGUCUUGCCGUGAUAUUGCAGAAUGUCUUCGGUUUGUAAAGCACUUUAAGUUGGGAGGAAGGGUUGUAGAUUAAUACUCUGAAAUAUUGACGUUACCAACAGAAUAAGCAUCUGCUAACUUCGAGCCUGCAGCCGCGGUAAUACGAAGGGUGCAAGCGUUAACCGGAAUUACAGGGCGUAAAGCGCGCGUAAGUGGUUUGUCAAGUUGGAAGUGAAAGCCCCGGGCUCAACCUGGGAACUGCUUUCAAAACUGGCAAGCUAGAGUAUGGCAGAGGGUGGUGGAAUUUCCUGUGUAGCGGUGAAAUGCGUAGAUAUAGGAAGGAACAUCAGUGGCGAAGGCGACCACCUGGACUGAUACUGACACUGAGGUGCGAAAGCGUGGGGAGCAAAC